ACACCUCAGGGCCCCCGGGGGAUGCCGCAGACGGGCUGCCCGGAGGGGGCGAUGGCGCCAGUCAGCCCACGGAGGAGAGGCGGCCUGGAGGGGCAGCCGAGGAGCAGCCUCAGCGCCUGCUGGUCCCCAGCAGCUCCACAGCCGAUUCCUGCCCCUCGGACAAGUCCGGGCCAGACGCAGCUCCCGUGGCCACAAGAGAGAAGAUCCGGUCCCGAUUCCACGGCAGCCACGACCUGAUCCACCGGCUGUUCGUCUGCAUUUCAGGGGUGGCCGACCAGCUGCAGACCAACUACGCCAGCGACCUGAGAAGUAUUCUCAAGACCCUUUUCCAGGUCAUGGCCACCAAGCCCGAAACAGACGACAAGGAGAAGUUGAAGAAGGUCACCCAGACCCUGCGCAGUGCAGCCUUGGAGGACUGCGCCCUGUGCCAGGAGACCCUGUCAUCCUCCGAACUCGCAACCAAGACCCGAGACGGGGGCUUGGAAGACCCGCCUGAGUGGGUCCCGGACGAGGCCUGUGGCUUCUGCACUGCGUGCAAAGCCCCCUUCACCGUCAUCCGCAGGAAGCAUCACUGCCGCAGCUGCGGGAAGAUCUUCUGCUCCCGCUGCUCCCCGCACUCGGCCCCGCUGCCCCGCUACGGGCAGGUGAAGCCGGUGCGAGUGUGCACGCACUGCUACAUGUUCCACGUCACGCCCUUCUACAGCGACAAGGCAGGCAUCUGACGCGGGGCGGGGCACAGCCACACCUGAGAGGGCCCCGGACUCCAGGAUGGAGGCGCCAAGGGCCCGUGCUCCUGCCUCCUCCAUCCAGGCCACAGGCUGCAGGGGGGUUUUCACUGCAUUUCAUCCAGCUGCUGCCACCACCGCUGCAGGGGCUGCAGGCCGCCCAGACUUCCAGAACGUCCAGUGCCUCCGCACCCACCCUACCCCCCCCCCNNNNNNNNNNNNNNNNNNNNNNNNNNNNNNNNNNNNNNNNNNNNNNNNNNNNNNNNNNNNNNNAUAGGCGGUCAGCUUCAUCCAGGAAGGGUCCCUGAGGUGCCCAGUGGCUGCCUGGGCUGGAGUGGGCUCUCCUCCUGCCUGUGCACCUGCCCCACCCCCCGCCCUGUUUAGAUGCUGCUUCCGGGCUCAGCGGGAGCAAAGGGUCCGCUCUUGAAGGAGGAAGUGGGGCUGGUGUCUGAACUCCGGUGGACACCUGCAGGAGAGGGGCCAGGCCCCAGUGCCCGCAGGGCUUCCCCGAGGGCUUGCCAAACCAGAAAGACCAGGCUGUCCGUUCCCUCCAGGGCCCUGAGCCCACAGCCCCCCCGCCCCCUCUCCUCACCUCUGCCCUCUCGGACCGGUCUCCCUUCUUGUCAGGGAGGGAGAAGGCAGAAGCAGACCCUGUGGGGACCCUGCUCUUGUCUGCCUGCUCCAGCCCCCCAGCUGGUGCGGGGGCUCUGGCGGCGGGGAGAGGCUCCCAGCUUCUUAGGCCAGGGCCCUGCGGGGGCUGAGAGCCACCGGAUGGUGCCCACCUGGCUGCCACUUCCCCCUUCCUUCUCUCUGCACCCCCUGGGACCCCGGCCCACCUCCUCAGACCCUGGAGUGGCCCCGGGCCCCAGCACAGACACCUCCUCAGGCUUAAAUCUCAGGCUUCACAUUGCAAUGACGAUUGCAGUUUUAUUUUUAGAGAGGUGACACACCUACUGCUUCUUUUAUAGGACAAAAUCCAAUUACUAUUUAACAGUGGACUACACAUGCACAAAAACAGCUUCUGUGGGAGAAGAAAAGUAGAGAAUGGAGGGUAUAUUAUGUAUUGAGAUUAUUUUUAUUUUCUAAAUGCUAUAAUUCAAAACCAUUUCCAUAAAUCUAUUUAAG
rnacentral:lncRNA from 1 species